AUAAUUUUGUCUUACUUUAUUUUUUUUGUAUUUUAUGAGAAAUAUCUUUAUAUUUAGUAUGUUAAAGAAAUAUUUGUUUUUGUUAUAGUAUAUUAGUACUGUUAAGGAAUUGAUGAAAUAGUUUAAAUUUGAAUUUUUCAUAAGUAUGUUUAAUUUACAGUACCUUUUGUAUCAGGGUUAAUCAAAUAAAUUAAUUUAUAUUUAUAUCUCGAUUUCAAAAGAGCUAAAGUGUUAUUUUAGUUAAUGUGUCAUAAUUAUUUAUAAUACAUUUUAGUAGAGAAAUUUUAUUCGUUUUUGAGGGUAUCUAGUUUUUUAAGAAUUAAAUUUAAUUUAUCUUUAUUAUUUAACUGUUAUAUUUUCAUUUAAGUUAUUUAUUAAAGGAGAAAUUAUAGGGGAUAAGCUCUAUACUUUUCUAUAAUAUUUUUAUUAAUAAAUUUUGGUAGGUUUAAAAUUAUCCAUCUUUAGUGAGUUUGUUAUAAAUUAUGUUUUCAAUUAAUUAAUUUUGUUUUUUUUAGAAUAUUAUUAAAAUACCAUAAAUAAUUAAUUAUUUUGGGAAAUAAUGAUUAAAUUAGUAUAAAAAUAUGUUUAUUAUUUUAUAACCUUUAUGAUAAAGUAAGGAACUCGGCAAAUAUAGUUCUCGCCUGUUUAACAAAAACAUGUCCUUUUGAAUUUAAUUGAAGGUCUGACCUGCCCAGUGAUGAAUUUAACGGCCGCGGUAUACUGACCGUGCAAAGGUAGCAUAAUCAUUAGUCUUUUAAUAGAGGGCUGGAAUGAAUGGUUUAACGAGGAACUGACUGUCUCACUUUAUUUGUUUUAAAAUUUAAUUUUUUAGUCAAAAAGCUAAAAUUCUAUUGGAAGACGAGAAGACCCUAUAGAUCUUUAUAUAAUUUAUUAUAAUCAUUUUUAUAUCAAUGUGAUUAUAUUAACUUGUAUUUUGUUGGGGUGACAAAAAUAUAUAAUUAACUUUUCUAUUUAUUUACCAUUGAUAUAUGAAUAUUAGAUCCAUUACUAGUGAUUGUUAGAUUAAGUUACCUUAGGGAUAACAGCGUAAUCCUCCUCCAGAGUUCAUAUUUACAGGAAGGGCUUGCGACCUCGAUGUUGGAUUAAGAUAAUAGUUAGGUGUAGCCGCUUAAUUUAUAGGUCUGUUCGACCUUUAAACUCCUUACAA
rnacentral:rRNA from 1 species